UCAAAGAUUAAGCCAUGCAUGUCUAAGUAUAAGCAAUUAUACCGUGGAAACUGCGAAUGGCUCAUUAAAUCAGUUAUCGUUUAUUUGAUAAUACCUUACUACUUGGAUAACCGUGGUAAUUCUAGAGCUAAUACAUGCCGAAAAUCCCGACUUCGGAAGGGAUGUGUUUAUUAGAUAAAAAACCAAUGCCCUUCGGGGCUUUUUGGUGAUUCAUGAUAACUUUACGGAUCGCAUAGCCUUGCGCUGGCGACGGUUCAUUCAAAUUUCUGCCCUAUCAACUUUCGAUGGUAAGGUAUUGGCUUACCAUGGUUUCAACGGGUAACGGGGAAUUAGGGUUCGAUUCCGGAGAGGGAGCCUGAGUAACGGCUACCACAUCCAAGGAAGGCAGCAGGCGCGCAAAUUACCCAAUCCCGACACGGGGAGGUAGUGACAAUAAAUACUGAUACAGGGCUCUUUUGGGUCUUGUAAUUGGAAUGAGUACAAUUUAAACCUCUUAACGAGGAACAAUUGGAGGGCAAGUCUGGUGCCAGCAGCCGCGGUAAUUCAAGGGCGAAUUCGUUU
rnacentral:rRNA from 1 species